UCUUAAAAUAGCAUUAAAACAGACUCAUAAUCUGGAGGUCCUAGGUUCAAGCCCUAGCUGGUCCA
rnacentral:tRNA from 1 species